CGGCAUGUGGAGGUUCCCAAGGCUAGGGGUCUAAUUGGAGCUGUAGCUGCCAGCCUACACCAGAGCCACAGCAGCGCAGAAUCCGAGCUGCAUCUGCGACCUACACCACAGCUCACAGUAACGCCGGAUCCUUAACCCAUUGAGCAAGGGCAGAGAUCGAACCCGCAACCUCAUGGUUCCUAGUUGGAUUCAUUAACCACUGCGCCACGACGGGAACGCCUACAAAUUCUUGAAAAAAUGUUAGCUGUGGUGAUGAUAAUGAUGCUUACAGAUGGCCAGAGUUUUUUUUUUUUUUUAAACAACUUUUUAUUGAAGUAUAGUUGAUUUAAAAUGUAUUAGUUUUGAGAGUACAGCAAUGGGAUUCAUACACACACACACACACACAUAUAUAUAUAUAUAUGUAUGUAUGUUUCAGAUUCUUUUCCAUUAUAGUUAUUUCAAGAUAUUGACUAUAGUUUCCUGUGUUAUACAGGAGGUCCUUGUUGCUUAUAUAUUUCUUAUACAGUAGUGUGUACCUGCUAAUCCCCAACUUCUAAUUUAUCCCUCCCCUUUUCCCCUUUAGUAACCAUAAGUUUGUUUUCUUGUCUAUUUUGUAAAUGUGUUCAUUUGUAUCCUUUUUUUAGCUACCACGUUUAAGUGAUAUUAUAUGAUAUUUGUCUUUGUCUGAUUUACCUCAGCUAGUGAUGAUCUCUAGGUUCAUCCAUGCUGCUGCAAAUAGCAUUUCAUAUUCUUUUCAUGGCUGAGUAUUAUUCCGUUGUGUGUGUACACACACACACACACACACACACACACACACACACGAAAUCUUUAUCCAGUCAUCUGCUGAUGGGCACUUAGGUUGGUUCCAUGUCUUGUCUAUUGUAAAUAGUGCUGCAAUGAACAUCGGGAUGCAUAUAUUUUUUCAAAUUAGAGUUUUCAUCCAAGGGCCAAAACUUUCAUUCCUCCAGAAGAAAAGCCAUUGUUUUUCACUUCUCAGGUGUAGACAGCUGGGGAAGGGGAAGUUUCAAAUAAUGUUUGGCAAACUUUGUGUUGCAAGGAGGGUGGGAAGCUGGAUGGUAAGAAGGGGGAAGAAGGACGCUGACAUUUAUAAAGUGGCUGCUUUGUGCUAGACGUUAUGAGAGAGUUUUAGGUAAAAGUAAUGCUCCUGGCUAAUCUUUUUUUUUUUUUCUUUUUUCUUUUUGUCUUUGUAGGGCUGCACCUGUGGCAUAUGGAAGUUCCCAGCCUAGGGGUUGAAUUGGAGCUGCAGCUGCCAUCCUAUGCCACAGCCACAGCCAUGCCAGAUCCCAGAUGCCCCUGCAACCUACACCACAGCUCACGGCAAUGCUGGAUCCUUUAACCCACUAAGUGAGGCCAGGGAUCGAACCCACAACCUCAUGGACACUAGUUGGAUUCUUAACCUGCUGAGCCACAACAGACACUCCACUCCUGGCUAAUCUUAACCAGUACUUUCUUUUUAAAAUUGAAGUUAGACUCUGACAAUAUCAUUUUUAGGCAAAGAAAGGUAAACUUGAAAUAAAGAGAUGUUUGAGACCCACCUAUUUAUUUAUUUAUUUAUUUAUUUACUUACUUAUUUUCAGCCUCACCUGUGGCAUGCGGAAGUUCCUGGGCUAAAGAUCAAACCUGAGCCACAACAAUGACCUGAGCCACAGCAGUGACAAUGCCAGAUCCUUAACCCGCUAGGCCACCAAAGAACUCCUAGACCCAUCUUUUUAAAGCUGCAGUCAUACUCCAAAUAAUAUUUACUAAAAAAGAAAAAUUCUAUUUACAGUCUAUUCUAUGUUAUGGUGUGCUGGCCUGUAUGCUACAUUAUGUUAUUCUGGUCUGUUCAUUCAUUUAUUCAUUCCCGAAGUAUUAACUGAGUGACUUUAUUAGGGUGGGUACUAUCCCAGGUGUGAUGGAUUCAUUAUCCUACUUACUAAUCAGUGUGAUAAAUGGAACAAUGACCUCCCUUCCUCCCCCUGCAACACACAAAAAGAUGUUUAUAUCCGAAUCCCGAGACCUGCAAAUGUGUCCCCUGACAUGGAGAGGGGUCUUUUCAGGUAUAAAACAGAUAAGGAUCUUGAGAGGGGGGAUUACCCUGGAUUAUCUAGUUGGGCCUAUUGUAAUCAUGAGUGUUUAUAAGAGGAAGGGACGCGAGUCAGAGCCACAACGGAGAUGUAAUGUGGAAGCAGAGGUUAGACAGUAAUGUGCUUUGGAGAUGAAGGAAGGGUCCACUAGCUAAGGAGUGCAGGUAGCCUCUAGAAUCUGGUAAAGCAAGAAAGCAGAUUCUACUUUAGAUUAAACAUAACCUUGCCUCAGCCUUGAUUUUAGCCCCAUAAAACUCAUUUUGGAUAUCUGACUUUCAGUAUUGUAAGAGGAUAAAUUUGUGUUGUUUUCUGUCCCAAGGUAGGUGGUAAUUUGUUACAGCAGCAAUAGGAAAAAAAAGAGUCAGGAUAGUUACAGUAUGAUGCAGUAACAAACAGUCUCCAAAUCCCGUUGACUUAUCACAGCAAGGGCUUAUUUCUUAUGCACACUACUGGGCCAGAAAGGGCCACCUGGGGGCUCUGUUUAUCGUUGUCAGCCAGUAACCCAGGGUGAUGGAGGCACCAUCAUGACAUGUGCUUCUAUAACCACUUCAUCUUUACAUGGUAAAUAGUUUGUAUAUCGUCCUCCCGGAAGAAACACAGAGUACUCUGGCUUACAUUUCAUUGGCCAAAACAAAUCACAUGGCUGUGCCAAACUUCAGUUAGAAAGGGGACAUAUACUCCUACAUGUGGAGAUGGAAGAAACUGAAAAUGUGGGAUCAGCCCUGGUACUUCUCCAACCAGGGAAAAGAAUCAGGGUCCCUAUUCUCGUAGAGUUUAUGUUCAUGGAAGAUGGAGACUGACAAAACAAAGAUAGAAACAAAAAUCUUACUAAAUAACAAAUAGGGUCAGUUUCAGAACUUGAUGAAUGAUAUGGAGAGAAUAAAACAAGGUCACGUGAUAGAGUGAUGGCGUGGCUACAUUUGAUUGGUGUUCAAGGAAAGACACUCUGAGGAAGUGGCGUUUGCAUUGUGAGAUGAAUGGCAAGAAUCAACCAUGAGCUGAUGCUGAGACAGAGUGGUAGAGGGGGGAUCCAAAAUGAUGAUUUUCCACUGCACUUAAGGAAAGCAAAAAUCUUGGGGGAAAGCUAUUUCCUUGCAGUCUGUUUCUAUGAGACCAAACUAAUGUUCGCGGCUGGAGGAAAAUUGAUGGUGCACAACGGCUAUUAGACCCCUAUGAAGAUUCCUUUACAAAAUUUCGACACACCAGAAUUUUGUACAAAACAGAAUGACCUUCCCAUCACUGGAGGCUAGGACCCUUGGAUUUGGGCUAGUUUCCAAAAGGUUGGAAAAG
rnacentral:lncRNA from 1 species